CAAGAAGACGAUGUGCUAUACUGCACGUCGAUCGCACAGCGAAAGGUGCUUGCACCUUUCAAGUGAGUGGCGAACGGGUGAGUAACACGUGGACAACCUGCCUCAAGGCUGGGGAUAACAUUUGGAAACAGAUGCUAAUACCGAAUGAAACUUAGUGUCGCAUGAUACGAAGUUAAAAGGCGCUUUGGCGUCACCUAGAGAUGGAUCCGCGGUGCAUUAGUUAGUUGGUGGGGUAAAGGCCUACCAAGACAAUGAUGCAUAGCCGAGUUGAGAGACUGAUCGGCCACAUUGGGACUGAGACACGGCCCAAACUCAUACGGGAGGCUGCAGUAGGGAAUCUUCCACAAUGGGCGAAAGCCUGAUGGAGCAACGCCGCGUGUGUGAUGAAGGCUUUCGGGUCGUAAAGCACUGUUGUAUGGGAAGAACAGCUAGAAUAGGGAAUGAUUUUAGUUUGACGGUACCAUACCAGAAAGGGACGGCUAAAUACGUGCCAGCAGCCGCGGUAAUACGUAUGUCCCGAGCGUUAUCCGGAUUUAUUGGGCGUAAAGCGAGCGCAGACGGUUGAUUAAGUCUGAUGUGAAAGCCCGGAGCUCAACUCCGGAAUGGCAUUGGAAACUGGUUAACUUGAGUGCAGUAGAGGUAAGUGGAACUCCAUGUGUAGCGGUGGAAUGCGUAGAUAUAUGGAAGAACACCAGUGGCGAAGGCGGCUUACUGGACUGUAACUGACGUUGAGGCUCGAAAGUGUGGGUAGCAAACAGGAUUAGAUACCCUGGUAGUCCACACCGUAAACGAUGAACACUAGGUGUUAGGAGGUUUCCGCCUCUUAGUGCCGAAGCUAACGCAUUAAGUGUUCCGCCUGGGGAGUACGACCGCAAGGUUGAAACUCAAAGGAAUUGACGGGGACCCGCACAAGCGGUGGAGCAUGUGGUUUAAUUCGAAGCAACGCGAAGAACCUUACCAGGUCUUGACAUCCUUUGA
rnacentral:rRNA from 1 species